rnacentral:rRNA from 1 species
UACGGAGGGUGCAAGCGUUAUCCGGAUUCACUGGGUUUAAAGGGUGCGUAGGUGGACUGGUAAGUCAGUGGUGAAAUCUCCAAGCUUAACUUGGAAACUGCCGUUGAUACUAUCAUUCUUGAAUAUCGUGGAGGUAAGCGGAAUAUGUCAUGUAGCGGUGAAAUGCGUAGAUAUGACAUAGAACACCGAUUGCGAAGGCAGCUUGCUACACGAUCAUUGACACUGAGGCACGAAAGCGUGGGGAGCAAACAGG